rnacentral:tRNA from 1 species
GGGGGUGGAUGGGGCCGGGUGGCCCCCGCGAUCUUCAACAUCGUUGGGCGCCGGCAACCCCGGCGCUGGUGGGUUCGACUCCCAUGCGCCCUCG